rnacentral:lncRNA from 1 species
CCAACUGGACAGCGCGGAUUGCAGCAGGCGAUCGCUUGCUACAACUACCAACAGACGGGCCGUAUAGCUCGGAGUUGCAGAGAGAGCUGCAGCCUAACGUGCAGGGAAGGAGUGGAGGUGGUCUUGGUGCCCGCACCCGCACGCGGCAGGUGGGGUAGCAUGCCUCAACAGACAGGCGGUGGCGACAGUGCAGUGAUGCCGUGUAUUCUNUGCUGCACGAGAAAAGCAACUUUCUUGGAUAAGGGGAAUUGUCUGACUCCGAAGCGGCUAGUAUUGGUGUACCUAAGUCAGGGCGUCAGUAAGCUCUGGUAGACUCAGGAACCACAGUCGGCUAGGCACCACUGUCCCCUGUGGAUGGUGAAGGAAUGCGGGAUGAAGCCGGAACAUCCAGUGGUGCAAGCCAGCGCAGGAUGUCAGAAGAAGAGGGCAGGGAAUAUGAGGAGAUAUUAUAGCCCUCGGAGUGGUGACAUGGUGUUGCAGGAAGGAGGAUAGUAGGUCGCAUUAACGUGGCUGUCACUUAUCCGUACCCUGCUGAACCUUUGCUGAGUAAUACUUUCACUGAAGCCAUUUCAGGUGCAAAUGCAAAUGAGUGGCGCAGAGUGAUGUGCACAGCCUCAUGAUGUGCAUGUGCUACUGUACCGGUGGGUAUACAAAUUGAAAACACUGGAAAAUGACAGUGUCAAGCGCUCUUUUGCAUGGCUACUUGCAAAGGUGUACGAGAAGUACGAGACCUUGGUGAAGUGCAGGUGUUGUCAGGCAUGGAAAUUAUGAGGAUGAAGCCGGGCAAAUUGGUGUUGUCGCAUUGUAGGUAUAUUGAGCAGCUAUUGGAGCAUCAUCAGACGGUGGAUGCCGAGCCACGAUCUACCCCUUUGCCUUCGGGUUUUAUGUGCACACCUACGGAUGAUACAGAUGAG